rnacentral:rRNA from 1 species
GUCCACGCCCUAAACUAUGUCAACUGGGUGUUCGGGAAGCGAUUUCUGAGUACCGUAGCUAACGCGUGAAGUUGACCGCCUGGGGAGUACGGCCGCAAGGUUAAAACUCAAAGGAAUUGACGGGGACCCGCACAAGCGGUGGAUGAUGUGGAUUAAUUCGAUGCAACGCGAACAACCUUACCUACCCUUGACAUGUCCGAGAGCCUGCUGAGAGGCGGGUGUGCCCGAAAGGGAAUCGGAACACAGGUGCUGCAUGGCUGUCGU